GUGGGGAAUAUUGGACAAUGGGCGCAAGCCUGAUCCAGCCAUGCCGCGUGUGUGAAGAAGGCCUUCGGGUUGUAAAACACUUUUGUCCGGGAAGAAAUCUUCCAGGUUAAUACCCUGGGAGGCUGACGGUACCGGAAGAAUAAGCACCGGCUAACUUCGUGCCAGCAGCCGCGGUAAUACGAAGGGUGCAAGCGUUAAUCGGAAUUACUGGGCGUAAAGCGUGCGUAGGUGGUUGUUCAAGUCUGUCGUGAAAGCCCUGGGCUCAACCUGGGAAUGGCGAUGGAAACUGGGAGACUAGAGUGCGGUAGAGGAUGGCGGAAUUCCCGGUGUAUCGGUGAAAUGCGUAGAGAUCCGGAGGAACACCAGUGGCGAAGGUGGCUUCCUGGACAGUAACUGACGCAGAGACGCGAAAGCGUGGGGAGCAAACAGGAUUAGAAACCCGAGUAAGUCC
rnacentral:rRNA from 1 species